rnacentral:RNase_P_RNA from 13 species
AUGCUGUAACAAAAAAAACAACAAUGAGAGAGAGAGCAAACCAAAAAAAACAAAGAACGAAAUGAAAAACAGGUUGAAGAAAAUAGAUGUCAAUUGACCCUCUCUCUCUCUCUCUUUCUCUUCCUCUCCUCCCUCUCAAAAAAAAAAAACAGGGAGUUGUACUCUGUUUUUCAAAAAAGAAAAAAAAAAGAAAA